rnacentral:rRNA from 1 species
GCGUGGAGACAGGUGGUGCAUGGCUGUCGUCAGCUCGUGUCGUGAGAUGUUGGGUUAAGUCCCGCAACGAGCGCAACCCUCACCCCUAGUUGCCACCGGGUAAAGCCGAGCACUCGAGGGGAACUGCCAGCGUCAAGCUGGAGGAAGGCGGGGAUGACGUCAAGUCAUCAUGCCCCUCACGUCCUGGGCUACACACGUGCUACAAUGGCUAGUACAGAGGGAUGCGAGACCGCGAGGUGGAGCUAAUCCCAAAAAGCUGGUCUAAGUUCAGAUUGCAGUCUGCAACUCGACUGCAUGAAGUAGGAAUCGCUAGUAAUCGCGCAUCAGCACGGCGCGGUGAAUACGUUCCCGGGCCUUGUACACACCGCCCGUCACACCACGAAAGCUGGCUGUACUCGAAGUCGCUGAG